CCCUUAGAUGUUCUGGGCUGCACGCGCGCUACACUGACGCACGCAACAGGUGCCUGCUCCGAGAGGACUGGGUAAUCAUUUGAGUGUGCGUCGUGAUGGGGAUAGAAUAUUGUAAUUAUUACUCUUCAACGAGGAAUUCCUAGUAAGCGCAAGUCAGCAGCUUGCGCUGAUUACGUCCCUGCCCUUUGUACACACCACCCGUCGCUCCUACCGAUGGGUGAUCCGGUGAAUGAUUCGGACUUCAGCGGCUCCUCUGGGGUGCGCCGGAGAAAGUUUUGUGAACCUUAUCACUUGGAGGAAGGAGAAGUCGUAACA
rnacentral:rRNA from 1 species